AUUGAACGCUGGCGGCAGGCCUAACACAUGCAAGUCGAAUGGUAACAGGAAACAGCUUGCUGUUUCGCUGACGAGUGGCGGACGGGUGAGUAAUGUCUGGGAAACUGCCUGAUGGAGGGGGAUAACUACUGGAAACGGUAGCUAAUACCGCAUAACGUCGCAAGACCAAAGAGGGGGACCUUCGGGCCUCUUGCCAUCAGAUGUGCCCAGAUGGGAUUAGCUAGUAGGUGGGGUAACGGCUCACCUAGGCGACGAUCCCUAGCUGGUCUGAGAGGAUGACCAGCCACACUGGAACUGAGACACGGUCAAGACUCCUACGGGAGGCAGCAGUGGGGAAUAUUGCACAAUGGGCGCAAGCCUGAUGCAGCCAUGCCGCGUGUAUGAAGAAGGCCUUCGGGUUGUAAAGUACUUUCAGCGGGGAGGAAGGGAGUAAAGUUAAUACCUUUGCUCAUUGACGUUACCCGCAGAAGAAGCACCGGCUAACUCCGUG
rnacentral:rRNA from 1 species